rnacentral:rRNA from 1 species
UUUAAUGGCCGCAGUAUUUUGACUGUGCAAAGGUAGCAUAAUCAUUAGUUUCUUAAUUAGAAACUGGAAUGAAGGGUUGAACGAGGAAAUAACUGUCUCUUAAUUAAUUGUUUAGAAAUUUAUUUUUAAGUAAAAAAGCUUAAAUUUAUUUAAAAGACGAGAAGACCCUAUAGAGUUUUAUAUAAUAAUUAAUUAUAUUUUUUAUUUGAUAAUUUUAGUUUAAUUAUUUAUUAUAUUUGAUUGGGGUGAUUAAAAAAAUUAAUAAACUUUUUUUUUAUUAAAACAUUAAUAAAUGAUUUAUUGAUCCAUUAUUUGUGAUUAUAAGAUUAAAUUACCUUAGGGAUAACAGCGUAAUUUCUUUUAAGAGUCCAAAUCGAUAAAGAAGAUUGCGACCUCGAUGUUGGAUUAAAAUAAAAAUCUGGUGUAGAAGCUAGAUAAUUUAGGUCUGUUCGACCUUUAAAAUUUUACAUGAUCUGAGUUUAAACCGGUGUAAGCCAGGUUGGUUUCUAUCUUUAAAUUAUUUAAUAUUUUAGUACGAAAGGACCAGGUAUUAGUAAUAGUUAUUAAAAUUUGAAUUAUAUUA